UGGGGUGUAGCUCCGUUGCUAGAGUGCUUGCCUGGUAUGCUUGAGGCCCUGGGUUUGGUCCCCAGCACCACAC
rnacentral:tRNA from 1 species